GUGGGGAGUUUGGCUGGGGCGGCACAUCUGUUAAAAGAUAACGUAGGUAUCCUAAGAUGAGCUCAACGUGGCACCUUGGCUUGGCUCGCGGGCGGGCACAAAGCAGGGCUCUGUCCCCCAGGAACAUGGCUAAAGUGCGAGAGGUUUUAUGCUCUCUGGACAUUAAGGUGUAUUCCAGGAAGAAGAACAGAGGCCCCACAGGUAAUUGAGACCUGGUGGUUUUGGCUUGGAAGGUUAGGGUCUUUGUGUUUUUCCAUGAAAAUUAUCAACUGGAACGUUAGGGGUUUAGGCUCAAGGAAUAAGCGUAGGAUGGUUAAAGAUUUCCUUAGGUCAGCGAAUCCGGAUGUUGUGAUGAUUCAGGAAACAAAAAAGGAGAAAUGUGACAGAAGGUUUGUGGGUGGUGUUUGGAUGGUCAGAAAUAAGGAUUGGGUUGCUCUUCCGGCGUCUAGGGCAUCAGGUGGGAUUUUGAUCAUUUGGGAUUCAAAAAAUCUGCGUAGUGAGGAGGUGGUAAUAGGAUCUUUCUCGGUCUCAGUCAAGUUCGCUUUGGACGGUUGUGGACCUCUUUAGAUUUCCGCUGUUUAUGGUCCAAACAGUCUCUCACUUAGGAAGGAUUUUUGGGUGGAACUUUUUGACAUAUAUGGACUAACUUAUCCGUUAUGGUGUGUGGGCGGUGAUUUUAAUGUCAUAAGGAGAAGCUCAGAAAAAUUGGGGGGUUCUAGUCUAACAUCAAGCAUGAGGGACUUUGAUAGUUUUAUUAGAGAAUGUGAAUUGCUUGACCCACUUCUUCGGAACGCUUCAUUCACUUGGUCAAAUUUGCAAGAGUCUCCCGUGUGUAAGAGACUAGACCGUUUUCUCUACUCAAAUGAGUGGGGGCUGCUCUUUCCCCAAGGCCUUCAAGAAGCCCUAAUUAGAAGGACCUCGGAUCACUGGCCAAUUGUUAUGGAUACCAACCUGUUCAUGUGGGGCCCAACACCUUUUAGGUUUGAGAAUAUGUGGUUACAACAUCCUAAUUUCAAGGAGAACUUUAGAAAUUGGUGGAGUGGUUUUCAAGGUAACGGAUGGGAAGGCCAUAAGUUCAUGAGGAGACUACAAUAUGUUAAAGCCAAAUUGAAGGAGUGGAAUAAGUUUUCUUUUGGAGAGCUUAAUGAAAAGAAAAAAAGUAUCCUCAAUGAUUUAACUAACUUUGAUGCCAUUGAGCAGGUAGGGGGUCUCACUUCUGAAUUGUUAAGUCAAAGAGCCUCAAGAAAAUGGGAGUUAGAGGAAUUAAUUUUGAGGGAGGAAAUCCAUUGAAGAGAAAAAGGUAGGGUGAAAUGGGUUAAGGAAGGGGAUUGCAACUCUAAGUUUUAUCAUAAAGUGGCUAAUGGCAGGCGAAAUAGGAAAUAUAUCAAGGAGUUGGAGAAUAAGAGGGGCUUAGUGUUGAAGAAUGCCGAAAGUAUCACAGAGGAGAUCUUAUUUUAGUUUGAAAAGCUUUACACGAACCCUACAGGAGAGUCUUGGGGUGUUGAAGGAUUAGAUUGGUCCCCUAUUUCAGAAGAGAGCGUGUUAAAGUUGGAUUCCCCUUUCACUGAAGAAGAGAUUUAUAAGGCCAUUUUUCAGCUGGAUAGGGACAAGGCUCCGGGGCCUGAUGACUUUACUAUUGCAGUAUUCCAAGACUGUUGGGAUGUGAUUAAGGAGGAUUUGGUGAGAGUGUUCACAGAAUUUCAUAGGAGUGGAAUUAUCAAUCAAAGCACUAAUGCCUCUUUCAUUGUUCUAUUACCCAAAAAGAGUUUGACAAAGAAAAUAUCAUAUUUUAGACCCAUUAGUUUGAUCACUAGUCUCUACAAGNNNNNNNNNNNNNNNNNNNNNNNNNNNNNNNNNNNNNNNNNNNNNNNNNNNNNNNNNNNNNNNNNNNNNNNNNNNNNNNNNNNNNNNNNNNNNNNNNNNNGUUUUUCACUUUCCAUGCCACUUUCCCUUCAGUCAGGAAAUUGGUUAAUUUUAUCAGGAAGAAAACUGAGUCAUUUCUGUUAAAUAAAAACAUCAAGGACUUUCCCUUCAGUUUUCCUUCUUUCCUUCUUCUCCUGUUUUUGUGUUUUAAUUUUAUCUGGAAGAAGACUAAUUCGUUUUUAUUAAAUACGACGGUAUACAGAAUCUGAUUGAAAAAACAAGAAGCAAAACUCCACAAAUAGGAGCAACACAAGCUGUGCUUUUGAGGAAGAGACUAAACAAAAAAAGGGGGGGGGGGAAGAAUCCAAGACCAAUCCAAAGAUUUACUAAUUAUAAGCUUUACCCAUAGGAAGUCUAAUGUCAGGUUGCAUAAGGAGGAGUCCAAUCUGUUGUUAGGUAGUCAGGGGGAUACUGAGGUAUCCCCAUCGGGUGAUCUCCUUAUUGAUGGAGCAUCCCCUCCUUUUGGACCCAAGGCGCGCCCAGUGCGCCGAUCAGGGUGGAAGACAUUGUUGGGUGGGGAGUUUGGCUGGGGCGGCACAUCUGUUAAAAGAUAACGCAGGUAUCCUAAGAUGAGCUCAACGUGGCACCUUGGCUUGGCUCGCGGGCGGGCACAAAGCAGGGCUCUGUUCCCCAGGAAAAUGGCUAAAGUGCGAGAGGUUUUAUGCUCUCUGGACAUUAAGGUGUAUUCCAGGAAGAAGAACAGAGGCCCCACAGGUAAUUGAGACCUGGUGGUUUUGGCUUGGAAGGUUAGGGUCUUUGUGUUUUUCCAUGAAAAUUAUCAACUGGAACGUUAGGGGUUUAGGCUCAAGGAAUAAGCGUAGGAUGGUUAAAGAUUUCCUUAGGUCAACGAAUCCGGAUGUUGUGAUGAUUCAGGAAACAAAAAAGGAGAAAUGUGACAGAAGGUUUGUGGGUGGUGUUUGGAUGGUCAGAAAUAAGGAUUGGGUUGCUCUUCCGGCGUCUAGGGCAUCAGGUGGGAUUUUGAUCAUUUGGGAUUCAAAAAAUCUGCGUAGUGAGGAGGUGGUAAUAGGAUCUUUCUCGGUCUCAGUCAAGUUCGCUUUGGACGGGUGUGGACCUCUUUAGAUUUCCG
rnacentral:lncRNA from 1 species